rnacentral:misc_RNA from 1 species
CUAAGGAAUAAUACGGAAACUGCACAUAUCGAAACAUUAUUCAGUUUUGAGAGAUCUACGCUCUCAAAACUUGUUCUUUGAAAACUAGAUAAUAAUUUAUUUCUUAAUAAACCGAGAACACCGCGUUUUUAAGAGUUUUAACAAGAAUCAAAGUUCUUAAUCGCUAAACUCAUAGAACCAACUGAAAGAUCAGUUAA